rnacentral:rRNA from 1 species
UACGUAGGGUGCAAGCGUUAAUCGGAAUUACUGGGCGUAAAGCGUGCGCAGGCGGCUUUGCAAGACAGAUGUGAAAUCCCCGGGCUUAACCUGGGAACUGCAUUUGUGACUGCAUGGCUGGAGUGCGGCAGAGGGGGAUGGAAUUCCGCGUGUAGCAGUGAAAUGCGUAGAUAUGCGGAGGAACACCGAUGGCGAAGGCAAUCCCCUGGUCCUGCACUGACGCUCAUGCACGAAAGCGUGGGGAGCAAACAGG